CCUAAAACAUAACCAACUUAUAAUUUUUUUUUAGAAUUUUAACGCUGAAAUUAGAAAGUUAUUUAAUUAAACUUAGUGGACGGAAGUCCUAAGACUAAUCUGUAAAUAAUUACAGUUGAUUAUUAAAUUAUGUUGACGUUAAAAAAUUGAAAUACUCAUGCAGUUGUUGGCCUAGACAAACUUACAUAUUCUAAAGUAAGAAAAAUUUGUGUGCCAAGUGAAGCGAAUAGUUAAUUAUUUUUUCAACGGGAAUUACUUCGCCCCUGAGUAAUACAAGUAUAACAAGGAAAUAAAAAUAAGCAUGAGGAUACUAUAAAA